CUGGUGGGUGGCGUACGCCCAAACAAUAUUGAAGAAGAGAGCCUAACGUUCGUGGAGCCAGAGAACUUAAUUGAAAACAAAUGGGCAAUCAAAAUAAGAAAACGGGAUCUUAUUGAACAACUCAAGCCGAAAGAGGCUAUCAUCUACGAAUUGAGGAAAACGAAGACGAAAAUGGACGAGGUGU